UUCCAGGAGGAUUUAGCCUUGUCAGCCUUUCCCCAGACAUCCAAGGGCUAACCAACCUAAACUCACCUGUGCCACCAGCUGGAUCUCAGCUUCUCCCGGAGAGCAGCACAAGCAUCUGCAGACUCUGCCCCACCCCAGGCCUGUGCUCUCCUGUCCUUUCACAAGCCAAAGAAGAGCUUGGGACUUGAUUUCCAGCACAGUCUGAAGCUGUACCAUCAGCAUCAAGAAUAACAACCACCCCCUGGGUCUGCAAAGAGGCUUUUUUCUAAGUUCGAAGUAAUUUCCUAGAUGUUGGGCUCAUUUCUCCCAAGGGCACUGUGGAAGGAUCUCACUCUGUCACCCAGAUUGGAGUGCAUUGGCAUGAUCUUGGCUCACUGCAGCCUUGACCUCCCAGGGUCAGGCGAUCCUCUCACCUUGGCUUCCUGAGUAGCUGGGACUACAGGAGUGAGCCACCAUGCCCAGCUAGUUAUUUUCAUAUCUUUAGUAGAGAUGGAGUUUCACCAUUUUGCCCAAGCUGGACUUCAAUCCCUGGGCUCAGUCUACCCACCUUGGCCUCCCAAAGUGCUGGAAUUACAGGUCUGGCUGCUCUGUCAGCCUGGGUCCUGGAAUGAGGACACCCGAAACAGAAUGCAUGCCCACAUGCACCUCAUAUCUGCUCUUCCAUGAUCUGUGAAUGCAAUACAAACCUCCCUCAUUAUAAACCACUGAGAUUUGGAGUUGCUAUUAUUGUAUCAUAACCCAGCCUGUCCAGACCAAUGGUCAAAUCCUUUUAAUAAGGGGGCCAUAAGUGGAUUGAGGCUGGGAGGAACAUUUGUUCAAUGGAGACUUCCCAACUCUAUCAGCCUAGAAGAUUCUCUUCUCCUCUAUCCACCAACUCGUCAUAUGGCUCAGUCCUUAUCUUUUAAGUCUCUGCUCAAAUAUCACCUUUUCCAGGGGACUUCCCUGAUCAGAAUGUGUUAAGAAGCUCUUCCCAAUGACUUUAUGCCUUCAUCAGGUGUACAUUUUCAGAAUCUGGUAUAAUCUUAUUUAUGUGCUUCCCUACCAUAAUAAAAGCUCCUUGAGGCCAGGUGCAGUGGCUCACACCUGUAAUCCUAACACUUUGGGAGGCCAAGGCAGGAGGAUCACUUGAGUUUGAAACCAGCCUGGGUAACAUAAUGAGACCCUGUCCCUGGAAAAAAAUAAUAAUAAAUUAGCUGAGUAUGGGUGGCACAUGCCCAUAGUCCCAGCUAUUCAAGAGGCUGAGGUGGGAGGAUGGCUUCAGCCCAGUAGUUCAAGGCUGCAGUGAGCUAUGAUUACACCACUGCGCUCUAGCCUGGGUAACAGAACAACAUCUUGUCUCAAAAAAUAAAAUAAAAUAAAAUUUUAAAUAAUCUCCUUGAAAGCAGUGUCAUCUUGUGCACCUUUUGUACACUUAUAUAUCCUCAGUACUUAGAAUUCUGCCUAGAAACUAGGACUUGAAAAGUUCUAGGCAGGAUUCUAAGUACUGAGGAUUCUAAGUACUAAGUAAUUGAGUAAAUGAAGAGGAAAGAAGGCAAGGACAAAAAUACUUUAUGUUGCUAUGUUUCCACUCAGAGCCAUUUUGGUUUGAGAUGUAUCCUAGGAAUGAGUGGGGGUGGUAAAGCUUCCAACUCCUCCCUCUUUCUAACUCGCUGUUGAUUCUAUUUGUUCUAUGUCAGAACUCAGUAUAAUCAGACCGUUGUCUCAAUAGUAGUUAAUUGACCCAGUUCCUCCCAUCAUCCCUUCUGAAAGGCUACCCUGACCUUCUAUGGGCCCAGGAUUUGCUUCACUGGGAACCUCAAAUACCCAUAGCCACCACCUAAAUAUCCUGUUUUGUGGUGAGUUACGUGUAUAUGCCCCUUAGACCUUGAGCCCUUUGAGGACAGGGACUGAAUUUUUUCAUCUAUAUUUUCAGGGGCUCCCUCAGCCCCUAUCCUACAGAAGGAAUUUCAGAGAUGCUUGAGAGGGAAUGAGCUGUCUUCUAUUUUCUGUACCCAUCUCCCUCCAAUCAGGGUAGAGUCUGUUUCUGGAGGACAGCACUUUGCUUUCUUCUCACCUUCCUUGUGUCAAGCAUGUAAUAAACUCUCAGUGACUGUUGCCCGCUUCCUUUUU